rnacentral:rRNA from 1 species
GGGAUUGCCUUAGUAACGGCGAGUGAAGCGGCAACAGCUCAAAUUUGAAAGCUGGCCCUUUCAGGGUCCGCAUUGUAAUUUGUAGAGGAUGAUUCGGCGAGGGCUCCCGCCUAAGUCCCCUGGAACGGGGCGUCAUAGAGGGUGAGAAUCCCGUAUGCGGUGGGUUGCCUUAGCCAUGUGAAUCUCCUUCGACGAGUCGAGUUGUUUGGGAAUGCAGCUCUAAAUGGGAGGUAAAUUUCUUCUAAAGCUAAAUACCGGCCAGAGACCGAUAGCGCACAAGUAGAGUGAUCGAAAGAUGAAAAGCACUUUGGAAAGAGAGUUAAAAAGUACGUGAAAUUGUUGAAAGGGAAGCGCUUGCAACCAGACUUGUCCGCAGUUGCUCAGCCGGUCUUCUGACCGGCGUACUCUUCUGCGGCCAGGCCAGCAUCAGUUCGGGCGGUCGGAUAAAGACCUCGGGAAUGUAGCUCCUCUCGGGGAGUGUUAUAGCCCGGGGUGGAAUGCGGCCAGCCUGGACUGAGGAUCUCGCUUCGGCAAGGAUGCUGGCGUAAUGGUUGUAAGCGGCCCGUCUUGAAACACGGACCAAGGAGUCUAACAUCUAUGCGAGUGUUUGGGUGUCAAACCCAUACGCGUAAUGAAAGUGAACGGAGGUGGGAACCCGCAAGGGUGCACCAUCGGCCGAUCCUGAUGUCUUCGGAUGGAUUUGAGCAAGAGCAUAGCUGUUGGGACCCGAAAGAUGGUGAACUAUGCCUGAAUAGGGUGAAGCCAGAGGAAACUCUGGUGGAGGCUCGCAGCGGUUCUGACGUGCAAAUCGAUCGUCAAAUUUGGGUAUAGGGGCGAAAGACUAAUCGAACCAU